ensembl:rRNA 5S_rRNA 5S ribosomal RNA
UGCCACUGCGAUAUCACCUUGCAGCCCAAGACUGGUUACUCACUAAAGGUAAGCAGGGCUGAGCCUGGUCAGUAGCUGGAUGGGAGACCACAUGGGAAAACUAAGUUGCUGUUAGAA